GAUGAACGCUGGCGGCGUGCCUAAUACAUGCAAGUCGAGCGAACAGACGAGGUGCUUGCUCCUCUGACGUUAGCGGCGGACGGGUGAGUAACACGUGGAUAACCUACCUAUAAGACUGGGAUAACUUCGGGAAACCGGAGCUAAUACCGGAUAAUAUAUUGAACCGCAUGGUUCAAUAGUGAAAGACGGUUUUGCUGUCACUUAUAGAUGGAUCCGCGCCGCAUUAGCUAGUUGGUAAAGUAACGGCUUACCAAGGCAACGAUGCGUAGCCGACCUGAGAGGGUGAUCGGCCACACUGGAACUGAGACACGGUCCAGACUCCUACGGGAGGCAGCAGUAGGGAAUCUUCCGCAAUGGGCGAAAGCCUGACGGAGCAACGCCGCGUGAGUGAUGAAGGUCUUCGGAUCGUAAAACUCUGUUAUUAGGGAAGAACAAAUGUGUAAGUAACUAUGCACGUCUUGACGGUACCUAAUCAGAAAGCCACGGCUAACUACGUG
rnacentral:rRNA from 1 species